rnacentral:tRNA from 1 species
UGGGUCAAAUAACUUUUAAGUUGGUAUAGCAUUGUGUGCGUUAGGGGGCUUGUGGGAGCCUUGACCCAG